GACAGUUCCAAAUCUGAGACUGCCUUGGGUGAAUCAGGAUGCCUCUAAUAAGUUCACGGUGCGGCGCUGCUCUGAGGAUGCAAACGGCACUGGAGAGAAUUAAAGCUGCUCAAAAUGGCUCAUGUGGGCAGACGGGGCCUGAGUCAGCCAGUCAAUACCAUCCAUCGAGUGCUCCCGGGGUACAGAGCUCAGAGCUCGGAGCUGUGGAGCCAGAAAUAAGGCACGUACGGUUCAGUUCUUCCCCUGAGGAGCUGAGAAUCUGAGGGAAACAGACAAGACAGAUUUGCUCAAAAAAGACGCAAAGCCCAUUAACACACAAACAUGGAAACAAGGAGCUUGCCUGGUCAGUCAUCCAUUGCUUUGGGCCUUGGUAUGGAAGGCAGAAGGGAGUUUAAAAACAAGAAAAGAUUGCAGCAACUUGGAUGAACACACAGGCCAUGCCCGCGACAAGCUUCCUUCUCUUGCUUUGCUUUUGGAAAGGCGAGCAAAACGCCUCUGACGUAUUCCCACACGCCCAAGCUGCACGGGCAACCGUGAUGGAGCUGCUCAAAGGGUAGGGGGAGGAUUCAGGCUUUGCUUCUAGAAGCAAGGCUGGGAGGGACUCCCUCUGAGUGCCGCUAGCUGUGUGAUCUUGACGUAUUUCUAGAGCUGUCUGAGCUUGCUGUCCUCAUUCGUAAUAUGAGCACAAUCCCCACAUCUUACAAUAGUGAGAUUAGAGGAUGCAAAGUACCUGCCCAGUGCCUAGCAUAGCUACGGUGGCUGCCCAAUGAGUGAUAGUAUUUCUUGUUAUUAUUAUUCUAACCUUCAUUCUAGUCUCUCACCCCCCGCCAGAAGUCCGUGCAGAAAGAGCCUGGCUCCUCUACUGCCUCCCCUUCUUCCAAGUCUCAACUUUGGACCCAGCCUGCUGUCUCUGGUCAGCAGGGCUGCCCACCAGUGAGGAGGCUUGGGCAUAUUAUCUACUGCCACUCAACUCCCAGUGCCCAGCAUCGAGGACACCAGACCA
rnacentral:lncRNA from 1 species